AUGGAGAGCUUUAUUUAAUUACAGCUUAAGUACAUGAUUGAUUAUUAAAAUCGUCCAAUAUCGAUUUGUUUGGGGCUUCAAAAGCACCUAAGAUAACUGUAUAAGUUACGCCAUAAAUUUUUAUGCGCGUCGAAGGCAUACACAGAGCGUAAGUCUUGUGAAAUGAUUGUUACUGCGUAACUUAUGCAAUAAAUACCAUGUUGGUGAAGUUACGCAUGUCCCAUUGCUUACAAAUCGGCUGCAGGACUUCUACCAUGUGUUUUUGUCACAAAAAUUGAAUGCAUGUGAGAGCUUAUUAAUUAGUUCACAUAGGCUAGCUCCUUGUUUUCCACACACAAUCAUUCUGAUGUACAACGUGACAUAUCGUGAUAUUUGCACAGAGUAUCAAUCAGCCUAAAUUUCCUAGAUGGCCCGACGACAGUGAGGUAGACUACGAUGUCUAUUCUUGGCCAAAGUUUACUAGAAGCGACUCUGCGCGCUUUAUUUGUAAUAAAAGCUCUAAUAUGAUACAAUAUUUCUCACUUCGGCACACCAUGCCGCUUUCCAAACGUUGCCAUGGGGUUAUUUGAUGGCAUUCUUUUUAAGGCUGUUGUACAUACGUCCAUUUUGAGGCCGGAUGAACCUUUACCUAUAUAGACUGGUUUAGCAUAUGAAUGACACCUAACACAGAGCAGACACUUCACAACUAUAUUAGCCCAAGCGUGAAGGCUGUGCAUUAACAUCAUGUCUGGUUCGUACAUUCGCCGAUCUAGACGCCAGGUACCGAGAUGGUAGUAUUAAGUGGUGCUGGUAUCCCAGUUAAAGAUGAACAGACGAUUGUUUUUGUGCUCAUUACUGCUUUUGUUGCGGCUGUCUGGUUAUUUUACCGCGUAGGCCUUCGGCAUAGGCCUGGGUCCCAGCUACCAGCGGGGCCAUGGUAUGUGCCGUUGAUCGGCAGUCCCCAACUGUUCACGACCUCAUCACACAUCGAAGUAACCAAGCUAGGUAAAAUCUACGGUAAGGCAUUCACUCUGCACAUAGGGACGGAUCCACUGAUAGUUCUCAACGACUACCGCAUGAUCAAAGAAGCACUCGUGCAACAUGCUGAUGUCUUCUCAGACCGGUUUACUUUCAAGACAAUGGAACGAACAAUCAAACUCCAAGGCAGUUUGAUAUUUGAGAAUGGGACAGCCUGGAAGACUAGACGUCAUGCUGUACUCUCAGCCCUUCAUCGUCGUGGCGUAAGAAGCAAUGCAGAACGAAACAUCAACGAGGAAACUUGCUUCCUUUGUGAGGAAUUCAGUAAGCGAGGCGGCCACCCGUUUGAUCCGUCCAAGAUCGUUAUGAAGUCUGUGUCCAAUAUUAUAUGCUCCAUCACUUACGGCAAGCGUUUCAGCUACAGUGACCCAGUAUUCAUGCGUACCUUGUCCAACCUAGACAUGGUGCUUCACUGCUCCUUUGUAGGCUCCAUCCUACGCACCCUGCCAGUUGUAUCACACCUUCCGGGAUUCAGCGGCAUUCGCAGAGCACUGGGUGAGGUGUUCGACUUUAACCGUGCUAUGGUCAGGGAGCAUAACGCAAGCUUUAAUCCUGACAACCUGAGAGAUGUGAUAGAUACAAUGCUGAACGAGAGGCUGAAGGAACGGGAAAGAGGUAUCAACAGUGAAGAGUCGAUUUUUACUGAUGAGCUGAUUGCACGGUCCAUUUAUGAUUUAUUCGCUGCCGGCACUGACACCAAUACAAACACGCUUCUCUGGGCAUUGCUUCUGAUGACACAGUACCCGGAUGUACAAACGAAAGUUCAGAAAGAGAUUGAUUCUGUCACUGGGAGUCGAGGUCCUUCUAUGAGCGAUAGUGCCUCCAUGCCGUACACCACAGCAACCAUCAUGGAGGUUCAGCGGUACAGAGUAGCUGCACCGUUCGUACCCCCACGCUGCACCAAUCGUGAUGUAGAACUCCAAGGCAUGCGGAUCCCAAGCAGUACACAGAUAUGGGUGAAUCUUUGGGCGGUGCUGCACGACCCAACACUGUGGAGCCACCCCGAAAGGUUUGACCCGUCACGAUUCCUGGCCGAUGAGGGACGGCGCGUCAUUGUGCCAGAGGCUUUCAUACCAUUUGGAGCCGGGCGUCGGGUCUGCCUUGGGAAAGAUCUGUCAAUUGCAACGAACUUCUUGUGCUUCACAAAACUGAUGCAGACGUUUUCUGUUUCUUGGCCAACGGACGGCGGUGAGGCCGACCUCAGUGGAAAUCUUGGCCUUACACUGGCACCAAAAAAGUACAAAAUAUGCGUCCGGUAUCGAGAAAACGACGUUAACUGAGGUCUGGUCGGUAUUGCCAAGGUCUUGAGGGUAUGAAUAGGAAUGAGACAUUAAUCACGCCACCAGAAGGCACUCUUCUUAUCGUUGAGUGGAUUUUAAUGGAAACUUCGCUAUCUGGACAGCCAUGGGAGAAAUAAUUUCGUGGCACAUGACUGACGCCCCACCAAUCAGAUAACAGGGAUUUAUUCAAGUAUCGUAUAAACUCUGCUCCUUUUAAUAAAUAUGGAUUUAUAAACAGAAAAUAUUCACUGUAUCUAAAUAUUAAUUUGUCCCACGCUUUGUACAAUUCACAGCAUUGUGAAUGUGUAUUUCCCGUGUUUUUAGGAUUUUACAUCGAUUGCUGACGCACAUUGUACGUCACAGUUAGCAGUCGUUUCUAUCCUUAUUAAGGCCUAAAACCCAAACAGAACAACCCUGAAGAAGGAGAACCAAGGUUUAAAAGCUUUGAUAUCACUCGGGGGCGUAAUCGGGUGUUAUUGCUUCGUUCUACUUCCACGUGAAAUAGUCUGAAUCUUCCUAGGCCUGCAGAUGAGUGCGUGUGUAAUCUGAUGCUUGCUCAGUGCAGAGCUUUUACUGGUUGAGGAAAACAGUUCUUGUU